AGAGGUUCCUAGACAACCGGAAGAGCCAAAAUGUUGGUUUACCUCUCACAGAAGGCCUUGCUCUUUUACAGGAGUAGAAUGCUACAGGAGUUUGGCUUGGGCAAGGCUCUGGGGCCCCGAUUCCCCUGACCCGUGGCCUGCGAGGAGCACCAGGGAUUUCCUAAGAACCAGAGAAGGAAGGUCAAGCUUUCUCCACCUCCUGCCAAGCUCCCCACCCAUCCCCACAACGCAACGCGGACUCCAUUGUGAUGUGUAGAGGGCAGUGAAGAGAAGCCCAGGCAUAACCGCUGUGACGCGAUGGCAGGACUACCGCUAGGAAACAGCCACCGCCGUGUCCCGGAUCGGGGGGACCCCGAAAGCCUUGAAGAGUAGGAAGAUUUCAGACACCAGAGACUGAUUGACUGCCGCGGCUGUCGCAAAGGAACGUUCGCUCAGCCUGAUGGUGCUGUCCAAAGGACGGAAAGUUUUGUCGUAUGGAAAGCACGGGGCAACCGGUAAUACUGGGGCCCUCCAGGAGAUCCUGAGCUCCGAGAGAGUUUCCCAGGCCCCGUGUGCUGACACGGACGGGCAUCGGACGUCUUCCAGCAGGUCCUCAUUCGAGAUGGUGUCAGCUACUCUCCCCAUUACAGUAAGAUGCUCCUCGUGAUCUCUGAUUAAAGCGGAAUAAACCUCCAAACAAACAAAGAGCCGACUAGCAGAUGGUAGCUGUUCUUAACACCACAUCGAAGGCCUAGGGAGAGGUCUGGAAAUAACCUGGCCCCACCUCAGAGGAAUCCUCUGGGUCAGCAACAACAAGCACGAAUAAAAGCUCCACUCUCUCUGA